AAUUUAGAAGUAUGCUCAGAAAGUCGUCGCAAAAAUACGAACGCAGUAUUUACGUUCCAAGCAUCUUUAUAUGAAAUGCCGCGGUGUUUCUUUUACCUCCGGAAAUCAGUUUCAUUUGUAUUACAAUUCAACUCAAUCUGCGUAACCUAACCAUCCCCACAUGCAACACGAAAUUUAAAUAAAUAUUCGAAUCAAACCCCCCAGUUGUCAUACAACAACUAGUUGAAUUCAAAUUAAAUCCUCUCUUCGUUUAACUGUUUUAUUAAAUCAUCGUCAUCUUCAUCACCGCCGAGUUUAUCCGUUUGCCUCGAUUUCAACAAUUUUAUCCUCCCCACCGACUAAUUCUCUCGCUUUAUUCGCGUAUAAAUUAAUUCAUCACCUCCUUGCUUAUUUGUUUCUUCGAUUUCAUUAAAUUUAGCGAUUUUUGUUUUAAUUAUGAUGACGAGACAAGAUCAACAAUCUAGGGUUUUCCAUGAGCUGUCGGCUCUCAUCCUCAACAUCCUGCGAUCUCCGCCGACUCCGAUUCACUUCUCCGAUCACUCUCCGGCGAGUCCGCGGCGGCCGUCGCUGCCGCAGCUGACGCCGGCGGGAUUCGCGUCGCUGCUGCUGGGGAUAUCGUUGGCGAUGAUGCUGUGUGGCUCGGUGACGUUUUUUAUCGGCUUUUUGUUGAUGCCGUGGGUGAUUGGAUUGGUUUUGGUGUUUUAUUUCGUCGGAAUUGUGUCGAGUUUGUCGAUGAUCGGUCGUGCUAUUCUUUGCUACACUUUGUCGCCUCCUUCGCCUCGAAAAGAUGUUCCCGGUCUAUGGAAUGGUUACCAACAAGACUAGAGGGUCUGUGGUUGAUUCAAAAUUGCCCGGAUCUAGUUUGCAUAUCUAUUUAUGAUAUUAAUCACUAAGGUGAAGAAAUGCAUGCCUGGAAACUCCUGUGAAGAAGCAGAUAGUAGGACCACGCCUGUGGGACGAUGAUCGAGCAGCACAAACUAUCUUUUGCUACGUGCUGCUAGUAGAAUUUGCCGAAUACUGUAAAGUGUAGUAUCGGAGGUAAUAUGGUUGCACCUCCGGAUGAUACAAAACCAGGACGUGUGGAUAUAUCUUCUCUAGGCGUGAAAGAAGUAGCAGGAAAGUCUUCUACCUGUUUCCAGUUGUUACUAUUUUACCCGAAUCUACGUUUGCUGAUUUCUUUCAUCUUCGAAAGUUGUAUAAUUUUCCUUCUUACAAUCAUCAAUAGAACUUACUAUGUUGAAGUACUAUAUUGAGAUUCCAGACACAGAAACAAAACGACAUGGUGAAGCUCUCAGCAAAACUCUGGAGUC